GAUGAACGCUGGCGGCGUGCCUAAUACAUGCAAGUCGAGCGAACAGACGAGGAGCUUGCUCCUCGGACGUUAGCGGCGGACGGGUGAGUAACACGUGGAUAACCUACCUAUAAGACUGGGAUAACUUCGGGAAACCGGAGCUAAUACCGGAUAAUAUAUUGAACCGCAUGGUUGAAUAGUGAAAGACGGUUUUGCUGUCACUUAUAGAUGGAUCCGCGCCGCAUUAGCUAGUUGGUAAGGUAACGGCUUACCAAGGCAACGAGACGUAGCCGACCUGAGAGGGUGAUCGGCCACACUGGAACUGAGACACGGUCCAGACUCCUACGGGAGGCAGCAGUAGGGAAUCUUCCGCAAUGGGCGAAAGCCUGACGGAGCAACGCCGCGUGAGUGAUGAAGGUCUUCGGAUCGUAAAACUCUGUUAUUAGGGAAGAACAAAUGUGUAAGUAACUAUGCACGUCUUGACGGUACCUAAUCAGAAAGCCACGGCUAACUACGUG
rnacentral:rRNA from 1 species